UACGUAGGGUGCAGGCGUUAAUCGGAAUUACUGGGCGUAAAGCGCACGUAGGCGGCUUGGUAUGUCGGGUGUGAAAUCCCCGGGCUCAACCUGGGAACUGCAUCCGAAACUGCUUUGCUAGAGUAUGGGAGAGGGAAGUGGAAUUUCCGGUGUAGCGGUGAAAUGCGUAGAUAUCGGAAGGAACAUCAGUGGCGAAGGCGACUUCCUGGACCAAUACUGACGCUCAGGUGCGAAAGCGUGGGGAGCAAACAGG
rnacentral:rRNA from 1 species